rnacentral:rRNA from 1 species
GACGGAGGGUGCGAGCGUUAAUCGGAAUUACUGGGCGUAAAGCGCAUGUAGGCGGACGAACAAGUCAGGUGUGAAAUCCUCGGGCUUAACCUGGGAAGUGCACUUGAUACUGUCCGGCUAGAGUUUGGCAGAGGAAAGUAGAAUUCCCGGUGUAGCAGUGAAAUGCGUAGAUAUCGGGAGGAAUACCAGUGGCGAAGGCGGCUUUCUGGGCCAAUACUGACGAUGAGGUGCGAAAGCGUGGGGAGCAAACAGG